AACAGAAUUGUUGGGUCAUGUGGUAAGAGUAUAUUUAUUUAGCUUUGUAAGAAAUUGCCAAAUUAUUUUCCAAAAUGGCUGUACCAUUUUACAUUCCCACAAGCAAU
rnacentral:pre_miRNA from 1 species